UACGAAGGGGGCUAGCGUUGUUCGGAAUUACUGGGCGUAAAGCGUAUGCAGGCGGACUUUUAAGUCGGGGGUGAAAUCCCGAGGCUCAACCUCGGAACUGCCUUCGAUACUGGAAGUCUUGAGUCCGGGAGAGGUGAGUGGAACUGCGAGUGUAGAGGUGAAAUUCGUAGAUAUUCGCAAGAACACCAGUGGCGAAGGCGGCUCACUGGCCCGGUACUGACGCUGAGGUGCGAAAGCGUGGGGAGCAAACAGG
rnacentral:rRNA from 1 species